UACGUAGGGUGCAAGCGUUGUCCGGAAUUAUUGGGCGUAAAGAGCUCGUAGGCGGUUUGUCGCGUCGAAUGUGAAAACCCGGGGCUCAACCCCGGGCCUGCAUUCGAUACGGGCAGACUAGAGUUCGGUAGGGGAGUCUGGAAUUCCUGGUGUAGCGGUGAAAUGCGCAGAUAUCAGGAGGAACACCAGUAGCGAAGGCGGUGGUCUGGGCCGGUACUGACACUGAGGAGCGAAAGCGUGGGGAGCGAACAGG
rnacentral:rRNA from 1 species